rnacentral:lncRNA from 12 species
CAUCAGAGGUGCUGAGGCUUCUCCAGCUUCUGGGUCCUGGCAGAGGUGUUGUUUCUUCUAAAAGUGGAGGGGAGAGAGAGUUGCUAAGGAACACCAUUAAUAUGCUGACGGCACCACAGUCUCCGAGAGUUUUGGCCUUGGACGUUUGACUCUAAUCAGGAAAUCAUUUUUAGAAGGAUUUGUCAGUGUAAGAAAACAAGCUCCUGAACUAAAUUAGGAUCUGGAUGAUUUUCCCCCUCCUCUUCCAAUCUGCGGUGCGAGGCAGAUUGCUGAGCCCUCACGGUUUGUGUGUGGUGCAUUUGUUUCUGUUGCACAUUUGAAUCUGGAGCUCCCAAAGGCGUCUGUGUUUCCAAGGACUGCGUUUUGGAGCAGUACCCUCGGAGGUUUGGGGCUCGGCUCUCCUUGCCUCACACUCGUUGGCUUUCUUGGCAAGGCGGCCCAGCUUCAGGACUCUUUAAUCUGAUUGUCUUUUUCUUUUCCGUUUCUUCCUCCCUGUAAUGAAUUCACCGCGUGUCUCUGGGAAAUUAAGGUCCUGUGCUGAUAAAUGCCCCUCAAUCUCUCAGACAGAGAUGUCCUAGAUAAAAAGACCUUAUCUGUAUGAGGACCGGCUUAAAUGAGCAUCCAGACAGACUCGGGUGUGGAGAUCACAUGUUCUGUAUCUGUGUUGCUGGUGCCACCUCAUGCCACCUGUGCUCCAAGCAUGGUAGGUACUUGAUAUAUAAUUGGCGACAGAUGAUGGCAAACGGUGGUAGAACUGACUGUGCAU